rnacentral:rRNA from 1 species
UACGUAGGGUGCAAGCGUUUAUCCGGAAUUAUUGGGCGUAAAGAGCUCGUAGGCGGUUUGUCGCGUCUGCUGUGAAAACCCGAGGCUCAACCUCGGGCCUGCAGUGGGUACGGGCAGACUAGAGUGCGGUAGGGGAGAUUGGAAUUCCUGGUGUAGCGGUGGAAUGCGCAGAUAUCAGGAGGAACACCGGUGGCGAAGGCGGGUCUCUGGGCCGAUACUGACGCUGAGGAGCGAAAGCGUGGGGAGCGAACAGG